CUGUACUGAUGAACAUUCAACCAGAGCUGCCAGCACAGAGAAGGAGCAUGGUGCCCUGAUGGACUCCUCGGCCACUAAACCUGCACUGGAGCAGCUAAGGUAUUACCUCCAGAAAACACCUCUGCAGAGGAAACCAGGAGUGCAGGGCUUCCAGCUCAGCCCUCUCUGACCUCUCUGUCUGAUCUGGGUCAGGCAGCUUGGCUCACAAACUGCAGACUUUUGGCAAAAGGAAUAUCCCAGUGACCAUGCUGGCUGCCCAAAUAACAUGCUGUAAAUAAAGCUUUCAGAAUAUGAACUCUAGGAUUUUUACUGGAAUUCCCUCAGCUCUAGUGGACUCCUCAAGUGGACUGGUACCAAAACAGAGGGCAAAGGGAGCUGUUGAGAAAGCAAGUCCAUUUUUCUUUCUCCUUUAAAUGUGUCCCAGUGUUUCCAGGAAAUAUUGGAGUGGGAUGACUAUAACAAAGGCACUGUGUCAGACC